UAUUCACAUCCGAUUUUUUUAUGGCUCGGCUGUUGAAAGCUAGCUAGGUAGCUCCCUUAACGGUGACCCACAAUUCAGCUCUAACAGCUGCAACAGGAAGGGAUCAACCGAGGAAGGAAUGAGUUAGUCAGAUGGAGUUGAUUUGAAGCAAAUUUUUUAUGAUCGGAUGCCUUUCCUGUCACCACCCCUCACCUCUUUCAAAGCAAGGUAAAUCUUUGUACUACCAUCCCACAUGAGUACAGACUGGAGACAACAGCCUUUUGGCCAAGAAAAUUUCUCAAUGAAGUUUUGGACUAAAUACAUAGAAGAUUCAUCACAGAGAGAUUAAAAUUCAUCCUUCAAAACAACUUCUUUAAUUCUGAAGCAAACACCAACCAACAAACAUUUGUCAUCAGGGUGGGUACAAAAGUUGCUCCAACAUAUGCCAACUUAUUCAUUCAUUGCAUGUAUAGUAUCAACCUACAAAAAUAUCCAGUGGAAAAUUUGGAAACACUACUUAGAUGAUUGUUUCAUUUUGUGGACAUACAGUCUUGAUGAACUUGAUGAUUCCUAAUCCCUACUCAAUAGCAUCAGUAACAGUAUUCACUUCACAAUAGAAUAUAGCCAAAACCAAUUAUCCUUCCUAGACAUUUUGAUCUUAAAAAAAUUAACACAAACAUCAAAACCAACAUCUAUUACAAACCAACAGACUCCAAACAGUACCUACUAUUUCCUUCACGUCACACAAAACAUACGCAAAACAAAUAUACUAUUUAACCUAGCUAGAAGAAUUCAUGCAAUUAUUUUCAAUCAUGAAAUUCAGAUUAAAAGACUCCAGGAAUUAAAACAGGUAGUGCUUGAAAGACAGUAUCCAUUUAAGUUAAUAGAGAAUGGAAAAGAACAUGCUAAAGCAAUAGACAUUGAAGAAUUAUGAAAGACCAAAUAUAGUUCAAAUACACCUACAACUCUGUCUUUAAUUACCACACAUAAUCCAAGAAACACAGAAACACUCAGCAUUAUCUAUCAGAGCAUACUAUUAAUAAACCAAAACUUAAGAAUGAAAAAGGCACUUAAAUCAUACAAAUAAUUAAGUGCAAAUUUCUAAAUAAACUACUUGUCCCUAAUCCCUAAAUAAACUACUUAUUCAUAGAAAAAUUAGUUAAAAAUUGUGGUCACUCAAAUUAUGUAAUUUAUAUCAACCUUAUUGAAGAUAUAUCAUAUAAAUUCAAAUUAGGACAAGUUUUUAGAGUGAAAAAAUACUUUGCUAGUUCAAAAUAUUUAAUAUAUGCUGCCAGAUGCUAUGGAUGCAGUGAAAAUUACAGUGGACAAACCAAACUCAGCUUGAGAAUGAGAUUAACAAUCUAUCAACAACAAAUAUGAGAUCAAGGACUAGACAAAUCCCACUCAGUGAACAUUUUGAGAUAUGCACAACAACCAAAUCCCCCAAAUUCAUAGUCUUCCCACUAUAUCAGUGUGCUGAUAAUACUACCGACCAAACCUAAAUAAAUAAAAAAAAUUUCAUCAAAACAUACAAACAUGGGUGAAUAGGCUAUAAAAACAUAAACUUAUAUGAUUUACCAUUCUCUAUGAAUGCUUUUUGUUGUUAUAUGAAAAUCCCCGCAGAUGAAAGAGAUUUAUUUCAUGUUUGUCACUAAGAGCUUAAAGUUGUAUUUCCUAUCAAUUAUCUUAAAAAUAGAUGUGUUCUGGUAAGUGUCUUGGUGACAGAUUUUAAAUCCCACUCACUUUGGAUGUUGAUUGAUCUGCUUUGAAGACAGAUAUAUUGUUUAUUAUUAGACAUUAACAGCCCAUCAAAAUCAGAUGCUGAAAUUUAUGACUAAAUAUCUCUAUCCUCAUAGACUGAUUGUUUUCACUGGACAGAGGCUGAUUGUCACCUGAGGAAAUGGGGUGUUUUAUUUAACUGUGUGGAUUUACAUAAUGUUAUGAAAUGCACUUCAUAUU